rnacentral:rRNA from 1 species
AUUGAACGCUGGCGGCAUGCUUUACACAUGCAAGUCGAGCGGCCGCACGGGGACAACCCUGCUGGCGCGCGGCCAACGGGUGAGUAAUACAUCGGUACAUGCCCUGCCUUGGGGACUAACACUUCGAAAGAAGUGCUAAUACCGCAUACGUCCUGAUGGUGAACGCGGGGGUUCGCUAGACAUCGCCGGUUUUGAUUUCCCCAUGACAGAUUAGCUAGUUGGUAGGGUAAGGGCUUACCAAGGCAACGAUCCGUAGCUGGUCUGAGAGGGUGAUCAGCCACACUGGGACUGAGACACGGCCCAGACUCCUACGGGAGGCAGCAGUGGGGAAUUUUGCGCAAUGGGCGCAAGCCUGAUCCAGCCAUGCCGCGUGAGUGAAGAAGGUCUUCGGGUUGUAAAGCUCUGUCGGCAGGAACGAAACGGUGUGCACUAACAUAGCUUGCUAAUGACGGUACCUGAAGAAGAAGCACCGGCUAACUACGUG